rnacentral:tRNA from 1 species
UGGGAUGUAGCUCAGUGGCACAGCGUGUGCCUGGUAAGCACCAGGCCCUGAGUUUGACUCCGGGUACCACAA